CAGCAGCCGCGGUAAUACGUAGGGUGCGAGCGUUAAUCGGAAUUACUGGGCGUAAAGCGUGCGCAGGCGGUUAUAUAAGACAGAUGUGAAAUCCCCGGGCUCAACCUGGGACCUGCAUUUGUGACUGUAUAGCUAGAGUACGGUAGAGGGGGAUGGAAUUCCGCGUGUAGCAGUGAAAUGCGUAGAUAUGCGGAGGAACACCGAUGGCGAAGGCAAUCCCCUGGACCUGUACUGACGCUCAUGCACGAAAGCGUGGGGAGCAAACAGGAUUAGAUACCCCUGUAGUCCCUGUCUCUUAUAA
rnacentral:rRNA from 1 species